rnacentral:rRNA from 1 species
ACUCCUACGGGAGGCAGCAGUGGGGAAUAUUGCACAAUGGGCGUAAGCCUGAUGCAGCAACGCCGCGUGAGGGACGACGGCCUUCGGGUUGUAAACCUCUUUUAGUAGGGAAGAAGCGAAAGUGACGGUACCUGCAGAAAAAGCACCGGCUAACUACGUGCCAGCAGCCGCGGUAAUACGUAGGGUGCAAGCGUUAUCCGGAAUUAUUGGGCGUAAAGAGCUCGUAGGCGGUUUGUCGCGUCUGCUGUGAAAACUGGAGGCUCAACCUCCAGCCUGCAGUGGGUACGGGCAGACUAGAGUGCGGUAGGGGAGAUUGGAAUUCCUGGUGUAGCGGUGGAAUGCGCAGAUAUCAGGAGGAACACCAAUGGCGAAGGCAGAUCUCUGGGCCGUAACUGACGCUGAGGAGCGAAAGCAUGGGGAGCGAACAGGAUUAGAUACCCUGGUAGUCCAUGCCGUAAACGUUGGGAACUAGAUGUAGGGACCAUUCCACGGUUUCUGUGUCGCAGCUAACGCAUUAAGUUCCCCGCCUGGGGAGUACGGCCGCAAGGCUAAAACUCAAAGGAAUUGACGGGGGCCCGCACAAGCGGCGAAGCAUGCGGAUUAAUUCGAUGCAACGCGAAGAACCUUACCAAGGCUUGACAUAUACCGGAAAUGGCUGGAAACAGUCCCCCCGCAAGGUCGGUAUACAGGUGGUGCAUGGUUGUCGUCAGCUCGUGUCGUGAGAUGUUGGGUUAAGUCCCGCAACGAGCGCAACCCUCGUUCUAUGUUGCCAGCACGUAAUGGUGGGAACUCAUAGGAGACUGCCGGGGUCAACUCGGA